GGAGUUUGGACCGUGUCUCAGUUCCAAUGUGGGGGACCUUCCUCUCAGAACCCCUACUGAUCGUCGCCUUGGUGGGCCGUUACCCCGCCAACAAGCUAAUCAGACGCAUCCCCAUCCCUUGGCGUCAAACUUUAGUGCUCGUCAGAUGUCCUCAAAGCACAACAUAGGGUGUUAAUCCGCAUUUCUACGGGCUAUGCCCUACCAGGGGGAAGGUUGGAUACGCGUUACUCACCCGUGCGCCGGUCGCCAUCAGGAAUUGCAAGCAACUCCCAUGCUGCCCCUCGACUUGCAUGUGUUAAGCCUGUAGCUAGCGUUCAUC
rnacentral:rRNA from 1 species